AGUGAACGCUGGCGGUAGGCCUAACACAUGCAAGUCGAACGGCAGCACAGUAAGAGCUUGCUCUUACGGGUGGCGAGUGGCGGACGGGUGAGGAAUACAUCAGAAUCCACUUUUUCGUGGGGGAUAACGUAGGGAAACUUACGCUAAUACCGCAUACGACCUACGGGUGAAAGCAGGGGAUCUUCGGACCUUGCGCGAUUGAAUGAGCCGAUGUCGGAUUAGCUAGUUGGCGGGGUAAAGGCCCACCAAGGCGACGAUCCGUAGCUGGUCUGAGAGGAUGAUCAGCCACACUGGAACUGAGACACGGUCCAGACUCCUACGGGAGGCAGCAGUGGGGAAUAUUGGACAAUGGGCGCAAGCCUGAUCCAGCCAUACCGCGUGGGUGAAGAAGGCCUUCGGGUUGUAAAGCCCUUUUGUUGGGAAAGAAAAGCAGCAGGUUAAUACCCCGCUGUUCUGACGGUACCCAAAGAAUAAGCACCGGCUAACUUCGUG
rnacentral:rRNA from 1 species